UACGUAGGGUGCGAGCGUUAAUCGGAAUUACUGGGCGUAAAGCGUGCGCAGGCGGCUCUGCAAGACAGAUGUGAAAUCCCCGGGCUCAACCUGGGAACUGCAUUUGUGACUGCAAGGCUAGAGUACGGUAGAGGGGGAUGGAAUUCCGCGUGUAGCAGUGAAAUGCGUAGAUAUGCGGAGGAACACCGAUGGCGAAGGCAAUCCCCUGGACCUGUACUGACGCUCAUGCACGAAAGCGUGGGGAGCAAACAGG
rnacentral:rRNA from 1 species